rnacentral:rRNA from 1 species
AAGGGGAGCAAUCCCUGAGUAAAGUGGCGUACGGGUGAGUAACACGUGGAUCAUCUACCUUCUAGUGGGGAAUACCCCUGGGAAACCGGGGAUAAUACCGCAUAAGCUCGAGAGAGGAAAGCCGAAAGGCGCUGGAAGAGGAGUCCGCGGCUGAUUAGCUAGUUGGCGGGGUAACGGCCCACCAAGGCGAAGAUCGGUAGCCGGCCUGAGAGGGCACACGGCCACACUGGCACUGAAACACGGGCCAGACUCCUACGGGAGGCAGCAGUGGGGAAUCUUGCACAAUGGAGGAAACUCUGAUGCAGCGACGCCGCGUGAGCGAUGAAGCCCUUCGGG